CCUUAAAAAAACAAAACAUUAACAUUUGCCAAUUCACCAACAGCCAACUAACAUGACCUCAAAGAACGACUUCGUGACGUACGCUCCCCUCCCAGCUGAAAACGUCGUCGUACUCCCCGUCUAUUACCAUCCUACCCGCCACCGCCAUAGCUAUCUCCGCCGCUGCGUCUACUCAGCCGCUUGCGUCAUAAUCCUCGUUUUAUUGGUGUUCCUAUUAUAUCCCUCCGAUCCCUCUCUCCAAAUUGCCCGAAUCCGUCUGAACAACAUCCGAGUCGUCUCCUCGCCGAGACCUACCUUAGACCUCUCUUUCUUUCUAACUAUCAAGGUAGGGAACAGAGAUUUUUUCUCAUUAAACUACGAUUCGCUUGCCGUUUCGGUUGGUUACAGAGGGAGAGAACUAGGGUUGGUGAGGUCCAAAGGAGGCAAAGUAAGAGCGCGAGGGAGGUCGUAUGUCAAUGCCACGCUGGAGCUUGAUGGCCUUGAGAUUAUUCAUGAUGCGUUUUACUUGAUUGAGGAUUUGACCAAGGGUGUCAUUCCCUUUGAUACUGAUACUGAGGUCAAAGGCCAGCUCGGCCUCUUGUUUUUUGAAAUUCCCCUGAAGGCAAAAGUAUCAUGUGAGGUGUAUGUAAAUACAGACAACCAGUCCGUAGUCCGCCAAGAUUGUUACCCUGCGGAUGCAAAUAACCUUGUCUGUAAUUAACUACUGGACUCGUUUCUUGAUAUUCGACCACCCCAUGAGUAGUCAGCAUGGUGGUGCCUGCAUCGGAAAGAACCCGGGUGCCUCGUCGGUGAACAAAUGCAUUGCGUUACUGUGCCAACGGAACCACCACCGGCAGCAGCCUCCCUGGCCGCUUCAGUUGGUGCUGCAGGCACUGCCAAGGCCGUUGAUCUCUGCAAAACAAACCAUCGGCCUUGGAGGAGCACCAAGUCCCUGCGGCUAAUCAAAGGAGCGCCCGGGUAACACAUUCUUCCUCUAUAUCCCUUUACGACGCUCUUUGUAUUGUAUGUAGUAUAAUUUUGUUGUGUCAGAGUGUGCUUCAAAGGUCAAAACAAGAAUCUGUGUGCUAUGAGGUUGUAGAAGCAGAAAGAAGGACAAAAGAGAGGUGGGCAAGUAAAGUGAUAACACUAAAGUUUUCUAGAGUUUAGUCAGAUUGAUUCUCAUUUUGAAAAAAAAGAGGAAUUUUUCGUUCAAUUGAUGGACCUGUCUCAGAAAUUGGUUCGCCUGCGUACACGUGUCGUAGAUAACAAGGCCAUUAACACGAACAACCACAGCUGGUUGAGCCCAACUAUAGUCUCCAGAAAAGCAGAUGUUACACAUACCCACAAGCGGUAGCAGCGGUGGGUCCUUUGACGUGGCAUUUGAUCAACCGCUCUGAUAGAGACAGCUGAUCCUUCCUGCCACUAGUCGCUGAAUAUGCUUUUGUUUGGUGGAAAAAUUAGAAAAUGCUGAUUUGAAGCAGAGAAAAGUGAUAUUAGUUCAUUUUGUUUGAUAAUGGUGGGAGUUUAUUUUAGAUUUGUGUUCAUAAAGCACAUGAUUUGCCACGCAAGGAUAGGAUUUGAUUGGGUGGUGUCCUGGUGGCUGAGCCUUUCACCUUUUCAAGUUGGAAGGGGUGGUGAUUCCAAAAGAGUUAAGCCAAUGCUGAUUCUUUUCCUAGUCAGAUUCUUGACUAAAGGUUGUCGAGCUUGAUUUCCUUUAUCCUAGUGAAGGGAUCCAUAGAAGAUAGGAAAAUGGAUAUAGAAUUACCACAACUGCCUCUACAGAGGAUCAAUCUGCAUUUAUACUUAGUGCAUCGAAAAGAAAAUCACAAGAUAUAACGCAAGAAACUCUGUGGACAUCUGUUUUUCCUUGUACCCAUGUCAAGGACAAGUGGUUAAAGAAUCUGUAUAUUGCAUCCAUCUGCUACGGGAGAACAGGAUCUUAAAUUUUGUAUUUGGAAGGAGAAACCGAGCCUCUAAAUCAAAUUCAGGUAGACAUUCCAGUCUAACCCCACUAUAAAUAAUGAAAUAUUUUCAUUUGUUAUGAGGCCUUUGCAGACAUGGUCAUUAGUUUUUGUUGUGUUACUGCAUCUGAACUUUAUCUUUUUCUGUUGUUUGAUGAUAUGAAUUGUACGUUAUGCUUACAGUUGUA